GUGUCAGCAGCCGCGGUAAUACAGAGGGUGCGAGCGUUGUCCGGAAUCACUGGGCGUAAAGGGCGCGUAGGCGGCUCGGUAAGCGUGUGGUGAAAGCCCGGGGCUCAACCCCGGGUCGGCCAUGCGAACUGUCGAGCUGGAGCACGGUAGAGGCACAUGGAAUUCCGGGUGUAGCGGUGGAAUGCGUAGAGAUCCGGAAGAACACCGGUGGCGAAGGCGGUGUGCUGGGCCGUAGCUGACGCUGAGGCGCGACAGCGUGGGGAGCAAACAGGAUUAGAUACCCUGGUAGUCCACGCCGUAAACGAUGGGCACUAGGUCCUUGGGGGAGCGACCCCGUGAGGGCCGGCGCUAACGCAUUAAGUGCCCCGCCUGGGGAGUACGGCCGCAAGGCUGAA
rnacentral:rRNA from 1 species